rnacentral:lncRNA from 1 species
AACUCCAGCCCGUCGCGGGCUGCGCCGAAGCCGUUGCUGUAGGUCUGCGACUUGUGCUCCGCGGGCCCCGGGGCGUCCGCUCCGCCGGGCGCCAGCGACUCCACCGUGUUGACCGUGCGCAGCGCGCUGCGCGCUGGGCUGUAGCUCUGCGACCACAGAGAGCGGUUCUGUUGCGGGUACGUGGCGCACGGCCGCAGCGCGCCCACAGUCGGCGCGCACGCCUCGUCCCGGGCUGCCGCCUGCACGUGGAUGACGCUCUGGCGCGCGGGCGUGGGCGCGGGUGGGCUGCGGCCCGGAGUCGGUCCGCCUGUGCCGGGAGCCACGCGCCGUGCGCCGCCGCCCAGACCCGGGGACGCCGCGCCGCCCGCCGCACGAGUCGCCCGUGCGCUCCCUCCAGUCCCGGGGCUCGGCCGCUCCUUGAGCUUGAGCACCAGCUGNGUGGGCGGCGCGGCUGGCGGGCCUGGCGAGGCGCGCUCCGGGCCUGGCGCACCUUCUGCCUCUGGCCUGCGCGCCGGCCGCUUGGCCGUGGCGUUGGCGUUGGCGUUGGCUGCGGCGGCCGC